GCCCUGGUGGCACAAUGGUUAAGUGCUUGGCUGCUAACCAAAAGGUUGGCGGUUUGAACCCACUCAGUGGCU
rnacentral:tRNA from 1 species